GACGUAGGGCGCGAGCGUUGUCCGGAUUUAUUGGGCGUAAAGAGCUCGUAGGCGGCUUGUUGCGUCAGCUGUGAAAACCCGCAGCUCAACUGUGGGCUUGCAGCUGAUACGGGCAGGCUUGAGUUCGGUAGGGGAGACUGGAAUUCCUGGUGUAGCGGUGAAAUGCGCAGAUAUCAGGAGGAACACCGGUGGCGAAGGCGGGUCUCUGGGACGAUACUGACGCUGAGGAGCGAAAGCGUGGGGAGCGAACAGG
rnacentral:rRNA from 1 species